UACAGGGGGUGCAAGCGUUGUUCGGAAUCACUGGGCGUAAAGGGAGCGUAGGCGGAACUACAAGACAGGGGUCAAAUCUCCGGGCUCAACCUGGAACUUGCCUUUGUGACUGUAGUUCUUGAGUAUGGUAGAGGUCGGCGGAAUUUCCGGUGUAGCGGUGGAAUGCGUAGAGAUCGGAAAGAACACCAGAGGCGAAGGCGGCCGACUGGACCAAUACUGACGCUGAGGCUCGAAAGCGUGGGGAGCAAACAGG
rnacentral:rRNA from 1 species